UACGUAGGGUGCGAGCGUUAAUCGGAAUUACUGGGCGUAAAGCGUGCGCAGGCGGUUUUGUAAGCCAGAUGUGAAAUCCCCGGGCUUAACCUGGGAAUGGCAUUUGGGACUGCAAGGCUGGAGUACGGCAGAGGAGACUGGAAUUCCUGGUGUAGCAGUGAAAUGCGUAGAGAUCAGGAGGAAUACCGAUGGCGAAGGCAGGUCUCUGGGCUGAUACUGAUGCUCAUGCACGAAAGCGUGGGGAGCAAACAGG
rnacentral:rRNA from 1 species